UACAGAGGGUGCGAGCGUUAAUCGGAAUUACUGGGCGUAAAGCGCACGUAGGUGGCGACGUAAGUCGGGUGGUGAAAGCCCCGGGCUCAACCUGGGAACUGCGUCCGAUACUGGAUGGCUUGAAUUCGGGAGAGGGAUGCAGAAUUCCAGGUGUAGCGGUGAAAUGCGUAGAUAUCUGGAGGAAUACCGGUGGCGAAGGCGGCAUCCUGGACCGACAUUGACGCUGAUGAGCGAAAGCUAGGGGAGCAAACGGG
rnacentral:rRNA from 1 species